AUGUGAUGUGGACAAUCCCUCAAAUAGCCCUUGUAACUUUCCCACGCUUGAGGCAGUGUCUUAGUAUCUUUCUGAGUAAAGCUAGCAAUUUUUCCUCUCAACUC